rnacentral:rRNA from 1 species
GACGAACGCUGGCGGCGUGCUUAACACAUGCAAGUCGAACGGAAAGGCCUGCUUUCCCUUGUGGAUUGCGGGUACUCGAGUGGCGAACGGGUGAGUAACACGUGAGUGAUCUGCCCCCAACUUGGGUAUAAGCCUGGGAAACUGGGUCUAAUUCCCGAUAGGACUGCAGGGUGGUGCCUGUGGUGGAAAACGAUUUUCUAGUGGUUGGGGAUGAGCUCGCGGCCUAUCAGCUUGUGGGUGGGGUAAUGGCCUACCACGGCGGCGACGGGUAGCCGGCCUGAGAGGGUGGACGGCCACAUUGGGACUGAGAUACGGCCCAGACUCCUACGGGAGGCAGCAGUGGGGAAUAUUGCACAAUGGGCGGAAGCCUGAUGCAGCGACGCCGCGUGGGGGAUGACGGCCUUCGGGUUGUAAACUCCUUUCGACCGCGAGGAAGCCACCUGGUUGGAAGGGUGGUGACGGUAGUGGUAGAAGAAGCACCGGCUAACUACGUG